GUAUUGUGCAGUAAAGAAACAAGGACCAGGGGUCUCAAAUGGAGAUUAGAUAAAGGGGCAUUCAGAACAGAAAAUAGGAGGCACUUUUUUACACAGAGAAUUGUGAGGGUCUGGAACCAACUCCCCAGUAAUGUUGUUGAAGCUGACACCCUGGGAUCCUUCAAGAAGCUGCUUGAUGAGAUUCUGGGAUCAAUAAGCUACUAACAACCAAACGAGCAAGAUGGGCUGAAUGGGGCCUCCUCUCGUUUGGAAACUUUCUUAUGUUCUUACGUAUUUAACACAAUAAUAGUUUUACCAAAUUAGAGUGGAAUAGUUGUAUGCUUGUGUCUUAGGAAAUAUCAGUUUACAAAAGCUCUCUUAUUUUGAAGACUCCAUGUUCACAAGUAUGCGGAAGCCCCUUUGGCAGUCAGCAUACUCUGACAUCAUAAGUCACAUGACCGGAACCUGCGUGAUGUCGUGUUAUUUUGCUUAAACAUCAAUAAUAACCGAACAACGAAGAAGAAGAAGCGAAAAGGACGGAAAAUACACAGAAAAAAUGAUGUAGCCUAUCAUUGUGAUAAGAUGAAAUACUGAAGUACCUUGACAAGAUGUUUUGCUGAGGUGGAUCGACAAUUAUAAAAAGAAGGUGAAGAGGGGAGAGCAUUCCAGUGAACCCAGAGUUAAACUUGAACAAGGGCUAAGAGAGGCAUCGAUGUGUUCGACAGUGAGAACUUAUCAAAACAAGAGGGCAACACUAACAAAGAGAAGGUGCAGGCUUUACACAGGACCUGGAGGAGCAGCACAGCCGAGGAACAGGAGCGGUGCUCUGAAACGACAAGGAAAAUGACCCCUCCACAGCGACCUGCAGACCACAGUCCUGAUCAAAAGAAGAGCCUCUACAAGGACACCUUAAAGAAUAUUGCACAACAGGUCAUCUGUGUGGUCAGCUUAUACAAGAGAUGGGCAACUCUAGUCCUCAAAUUUGCAGCUUUCGUUCAUGUUCUACCUCAGUUAUCAAGCUCGUAAAUGCGAGUUGUCUUUUUUGUACUUAUGUUUCUACCAGUUGCUAAUCAGAAAAUAAAACAAAGAUGCCAACCCCUCAAAGACUGAAAGAGCC